UUCUAGAUCUAGAUAUGGCUCCUCAUGUGUCGGAAGACAAUCACAAUGACAAUGAGUCGGGAAGACAGAUUGUUAAACCAGUCAUUCAUUUACAGUUGUUUAUAGUAAACAAAGGAACAAAAUGAAGACACAAUGUCCAGAUGCAUGAAUUGGAGAUUUAGUAACAAAAGAAAAAGAACCACAUAUGCUGAACAUAAAACUUGAUGGUUUUUAUAUGCUCUUAAAACAUCAAAUCUUUCGAUACCAGAGUCCUAUCAAUGGUCUUUUUCCUUCUAUUGGAUCUGACAAGAAUACAAAUAGAAUAGCUCAUGUUCAGGAUUCUAUUUACUGUGCAGUUGCUGUUUGGUCACUGGCUCAAGUUUAUAAAAAGAUUGAUGAUGACCAGGGCAGGAUCAUAAGUUGGGCCAAGCUUAUGAUGGGUAUGUAGCAAUGUUGGAUAUUCAAGUUGGCCUCCUUCAGUCAUAGAGCGACUAUGGUUCUCAAACACUUUUCCAUGUGCAAUUUUGGAUAUGACAGGCAGAUAAACCUCCAAGAAUGAAAUCAGCUCAGCCUUGAGUUGGACGACAUGCUUUAACACUUUUCCCCUGGAGAGCCAACAAACGUUGGUGUGAUACAGGAGACAUUAGUAGUCUGAAUCCUUUGCUUCACAAAGCUCUGAGGAAAGUCAGAAUGCAAGCGGUCGAGAUUUGAGAAAGUUUACAACUUCAAUCACUUGAUCCAGAACAGACAUCAAAUAUUUGAAGGCAAGAGCUUCUCUGUGGAUCAUGCAGUGAACAACUAAUACAUUUGGAUUUUCUUGACGCACAAGAGUGAAGAAUCCCUUUCUAUUUCCCUGCAUGGAAGGACAGCCAUCGGUGCAAACGCUGACACAGUUUGUCUCCACUGUAAUUUGAAUAGCAAAAUGUUUUCGUUCACCACUUAAAAAUCUUCGCCUUUGGUCGUAGUUGGUGGUGAUUUUAUUGUUUACCAUGGAGUUGUCUACUUUUCAAAUUUUACUGACCAAGUUUGUACAGUGACUGAUCCAUCUGCAGUUUCCGAACCAGUAACUGAUAUCUCAAAAAAAUAUUGCUAUACUGAUGGUGUCUGUCACCUCAGGUUGAUGUGUUUGACCAUGGUGGAUAAAACAGAGCCUGAUCUUUGCAGAAGUUGUAGAACAUUUUUCCACCAUAGAAUCCAUACAUUGAAAUGAAAAUGUUCAGAUUUUAUCCAUGAUCAACUGUCUGAAGAUUAGGAACUAGAUAUAGGUCUUGAAGUAUUACACUUAAUGAUCUAUUUAAACAAAUAAAAAGAACUCUACUGUUUAACCACAAAUAUUAAUAAAAUUUGGAAAGACCUUCACAUAAUCCUUGUUAAUUUUUUAUUACCUUUUCAAUAUGUUUAAUUUGUUGAUUUUUUCUUGAAAAAUGUGUAGUUUUGGAUACUGGAUAGACAACACUUAUACCCACAUUCUCAUUAUAAAAUAAUUAGUUUCUACUUUUGGACAUUAUGACAAAUAAUAUAAUCUAUUGGCUUUCUGGAGGUAUCAAAAUGCUCUAUAAAAAGGAACUUGAUUCAAGAAACACAAGGAAGGGAAAAGAGAAAUCUAUUAUACAUAAGUAAGAAGUAAUGGGAUGCACAGUGGAUAUUAAUUUUUAAAAAAGUAUUACAAAAAGUAAAGUUUACCUUUCAGACCUUGCGAUCCAUGGAGCCAAUGAUGUCAAGGUAAUGUUUCUAUGGCCAGUGGUUAAUGAGCAGGUCCUCAUGUGUCCAGCACAAUGACUAACCACCUUAAUUUUCCCCACCUAAAGUCAGUUACCCAUUAGAGUUGGGGGACUGAGGGGCACCCUAAAAAUUCAAAAUCCCAAUCUUCAUUGAGGUUCAAACCCUGGACCCCAUUGUUUUCCUAUGAGGUACACAAAUCAUUUAGCCGACAAAAAAUCAAAAUAUUGAUAUAGAAGCGAAAUGAAAAAUGACUGAGCUUUUGGCCCAUGACUUUGAAAUGCUAAUAUCUAUGUAUACUUCUUUAUGU